ACUCCGGUUGAUCCUGCCGGCGGCUACUGCUAUCAGGUUCCGACUAAGCCAUGCGAGUCAAGGGGUCGCAAGACACCGGCGCACUGCUCAGUAAUACUCGGAUAAUCUACCCCCAGGUGGGGGAUAACCUCGGGAAACUGAGGCUAAUACCCCAUAGUUGCCAUAUGCUGGAAUGCUUUGGCGAUGAAAGAAUUUCGCCUGAGGAUGAGUCUGCGGCCUAUCAGGUAGUAUGUGGCGUAAGGACCACAUAGCCUUUGACGGGUACGGGCCUUGAAAGAGGGGAGCCCGGAGAUGGACUCUGAGACACUAGUCCAGGCCCUACGGGGCGCAGCAGGCGCGAAACCUGUGCAAUGCGCGUAAGCGCGACACGGGGAGCCUGAGUGCCUUGACUAAGUCAAGGCUUUUCUUAAGCCUAAAAAGCUUGAGGAAUAAGAGCUGGGCAAGACGGGUGCCAGCCGCCGCGGUAACACCCGCAGCUCGAGUGGUAGUCACUUUUAUUGAGCCUAAAGCGUUCGUAGCCGGUUUUGUAAAUCCUCAGACAAAUUCUCCUGCUUAACGGGAGAUACUCUGGAGAGACUGCGAAACUAGGGACCGGGUGAGGUUGAAGGUACUUCUGGGGUAGGGGUAAAAUCCUGUAAUCCUGGAAGGACGACCGGUGGCGAAGGCGUUCAACUAGAACGGAUCCGACGGUGAGGAACGAGGGCUAGGGGAGCAAACCGGAUUAGAUACCCGGGUAGUCCUAGCUGUAAACACUGCCCACUUGGUGUUGCUUCUCCUAGUAGGGGGUGCAGUGCCGGAGCGAAGGUGUUAAGUGGGCCGCUUGGGGAGUAUGGUCGCAAGGCUGAAACUUAAAGGAAUUGGCGGGGGAGCACCAGCAACGGGAGGAGCGUGCGGUUUAAUUGGAUUCAACGCCGGAAAGCUCACCGGAGGCGACCGUGUGGAUGAG
rnacentral:rRNA from 1 species